GGGCGGUAAAGACGCAUGCAGGUGGGUUUUGGUUUAAGGUUACAGAUGUGAAAGACCCCGGGGCCGUCAACCUACCGGAAGUAAGCAUUUGUAAACUAGGCAGACUAGAGUACUGUAGAGGGGGGUAGGAAUUUCUAGGUGUAGCGGUGAAAUAGCGUAGAGAUCUGAAGGAAUACCGGUGGCGAAGGCGGCCCCCUCGGACAGAUACUGACACUCAGAUGCGAAAGCGUGGGGAGCAAACAGGAUUAGAUACCCCUGGUAG
rnacentral:rRNA from 1 species